rnacentral:misc_RNA from 1 species
UGUGGGAGCUGGCUUGCCUGCGAUGCAGACGCCUCGGUACAUCAGUUGUACCGAAGUGAUGCUAUCGCAGGCAAGCCAGCUCCCACA